rnacentral:rRNA from 1 species
GGUUAAGCGACUAAGCGUACACGGUGGAUGCCCUGGCAGUCAGAGGCGAUGAAGGACGUGCUAAUCUGCGAAAAGCGUCGGUAAGGUGAUAUGAACCGUUAUAGCCGGCGAUGUCCGAAUGGGGAAACCCAGUGCAAUUCGUUGCACUAUCGUUAACUGAAUACAUAGGUUAACGAGGCGAACCGGGGGAACUGAAACAUCUAAGUACCCCGAGGAAAAGAAAUCAACCGAGAUUCCCCCAGUAGCGGCGAGCGAACGGGGAGCAGCCCAGAGUCUGAAUCAGCUUGUGUGUUAGUGGAACGGUCUGGAAAGUCCGACGGUACAGGGUGAUAGUCCCGUACACCAAAAUGCACAGGUUGUGAACUCGAAGAGUAGGGCGGGACACGUGGUAUCCUGUCUGAAUAUGGGGGGACCAUCCUCCAAGGCUAAAUACUCCUGACUGACCGAUAGUGAACCAGUACCGUGAGGGAAAGGCGAAAAGAACCCCGGCGAGGGGAGUGAAAAAGAACCUGAAACCGUGUACGUACAAGCAGUGGGAGCACCUUCGGGUGUGACUGCGUACCUUUUGUAUAAUGGGUCAGCGACUUAUAUUCUGUAGCAAGGUUAACCGUAUAGGGGAGCCGCAGGGAAACCGAGUCUUAACUGGGCGUUAAGUUGCAGGGUAUAGACCCGAAACCCGGUGAUCUAGCCAUGGGCAGGUUGAAGGUUGGGUAACACUAACUGGAGGACCGAACCGACUAAUGUUGAAAAAUUAGCGGAUGACUUGUGGCUGGGGGUGAAAGGCCAAUCAAACCGGGAGAUAGCUGGUUCUCCCCGAAAGCUAUUUAGGUAGCGCCUCGUGAACUCAUCUUCGGGGGUAGAGCACUGUUUCGGCUAGGGGGUCAUCCCGACUUACCAACCCGAUGCAAACUACGAAUACCGAAGAAUGUUAUCACGGGAGACACACGGCGGGUGCUAACGUCCGUCGUGAAGAGGGAAACAACCCAGACCGCCAGCUAAGGUCCCAAAGUCAUGGUUAAGUGGGAAACGAUGUGGGAAGGCACAGACAGCCAGGAUGUUGGCUUAGAAGCAGCCAUCAUUUAAAGAAAGCGUAAUAGCUCACUGGUCGAGUCGGCCUGCGCGGAAGAUGUAACGGGGCUAAACCAUGCACCGAAGCUGCGGCAGCGACACUAUGUGUUGUUGGGUAGGGGAGCGUUCUGUAAGCCUGCGAAGGUGACCUGUGAGGGUUGCUGGAGGUAUCAGAAGUGCGAAUGCUGACAUAAGUAACGAUAAAGCGGGUGAAAAGCCCGCUCGCCGGAAGACCAAGGGUUCCUGUCCAACGUUAAUCGGGGCAGGGUGAGUCGACCCCUAAGGCGAGGCCGAAAGGCGUAGUCGAUGGGAAACAGGUUAAUAUUCCUGUACUUGGUGUUACUGCGAAGGGGGGACGGAGAAGGCUAUGUUAGCCGGGCGACGGUUGUCCCGGUUUAAGCAUGUAGGCUGGUUAUCCAGGCAAAUCCGGAUAAUCAAGGCUGAGGUGUGAUGACGAGGCACUACGGUGCUGAAGUAACAAAUGCCCUGCUUCCAGGAAAAGCCUCUAAGCAUCAGGUAACAUCAAAUCGUACCCCAAACCGACACAGGUGGUCAGGUAGAGAAUACCAAGGCGCUUGAGAGAACUCGGGUGAAGGAACUAGGCAAAAUGGUGCCGUAACUUCGGGAGAAGGCACGCUGGUGUGUAGGUGAAGUCCCUGCGGAUGGAGCUGAGACCAGUCGAAGAUACCAGCUGGCUGCAACUGUUUAUUAAAAACACAGCACUGUGCAAACACGAAAGUGGACGUAUACGGUGUGACGCCUGCCCGGUGCCGGAAGGUUAAUUGAUGGGGUUAUCCGUAAGGAGAAGCUCUUGAUCGAAGCCCCGGUAAACGGCGGCCGUAACUAUAACGGUCCUAAGGUAGCGAAAUUCCUUGUCGGGUAAGUUCCGACCUGCACGAAUGGCGUAAUGAUGGCCAGGCUGUCUCCACCCGAGACUCAGUGAAAUUGAACUCGCUGUGAAGAUGCAGUGUACCCGCGGCAAGACGGAAAGACCCCGUGAACCUUUACUAUAGCUUGACACUGAACAUUGAGCCUUGAUGUGUAGGAUAGGUGGGAGGCUUUGAAGCGUGGACGCCAGUCUGCGUGGAGCCAACCUUGAAAUACCACCCUUUAAUGUUUGAUGUUCUAACGUUGGCCCCUUACCGGGGUUGCGGACAGUGUCUGGUGGGUAGUUUGACUGGGGCGGUCUCCUCCCAAAGCGUAACGGAGGAGCACGAAGGUUAGCUAAUCCUGGUCGGACAUCAGGAGGUUAGUGCAAUGGCAUAAGCUAGCUUGACUGCGAGCGUGACGGCGCGAGCAGGUGCGAAAGCAGGUCAUAGUGAUCCGGUGGUUCUGAAUGGAAGGGCCAUCGCUCAACGGAUAAAAGGUACUCCGGGGAUAACAGGCUGAUACCGCCCAAGAGUUCAUAUCGACGGCGGUGUUUGGCACCUCGAUGUCGGCUCAUCACAUCCUGGGGCUGAAGUAGGUCCCAAGGGUAUGGCUGUUCGCCAUUUAAAGUGGUACGCGAGCUGGGUUUAGAACGUCGUGAGACAGUUCGGUCCCUAUCUGCCGUGGGCGCUGGAGAAUUGAGGGGGGCUGCUCCUAGUACGAGAGGACCGGAGUGGACGCAUCACUGGUGUUCGGGUUGUCAUGCCAAUGGCACUGCCCGGUAGCUAAAUGCGGAAGAGAUAAGUGCUGAAAGCAUCUAAGCACGAAACUUGCCCCGAGAUGAGUUCUCCCUGAGACUUUAAGUCUCCUGAAGGAACGUUGAAGACGACGACGUUGAUAGGCCGGGUGUGUAAGCGCAGCGAUGCGUUGAGCUAACCGGUACUAAUGAACCGUGAGGCUUAACCUU